UACGUAGGUGGCAAGCGUUAUCCGGAUUUACUGGGUGUAAAGGGCGUGUAGGCGGGGAAGCAAGUCAGAUGUGAAAACCACGGGCUCAACCUGUGGCCUGCAUUUGAAACUGUUUUUCUUGAGUGCUGGAGAGGCAAUCGGAAUUCCGUGUGUAGCGGUGAAAUGCGUAGAUAUACGGAGGAACACCAGUGGCGAAGGCGGAUUGCUGGACAGUAACUGACGCUGAGGCGCGAAAGCGUGGGGAGCAAACGGG
rnacentral:rRNA from 1 species